AGUGAAAGUGGAUAGAAAAAGUCAUAAGUAUCAAUUUUUUUCAUUGUUAUGAUAUAUAAUUUUUAUGAG
rnacentral:ribozyme from 12 species